GAUGAACGCUGGCGGCGUGCCUAAUACAUGCAAGUCGAGCGAACAGAUGAGGAGCUCGCUCCUCUGACUUUAUCGGCGGACGGGUGAUUAACACGGGGAUAACCUACCUAUAAGACUGGGAUAACUUCGGGAAACCGGAUCUAAUGCCGGAUAAUAUAUUGAACCUCAUUGUUCCAUAGUUAAAUACGGUUUUUCGUUCACUUAUAGAUUGAUCAGCGGCGCAUUAGCUAGUUGGUAAGGUAACGGCUUACCAAGGCAACGAUUCGUAGCCGACCCGAGAGGGACAUUGGCUAGCCUGGAAGUGAGAAAGGGCCGACACUCCUACGCGAGGCAGCAGCAGGGAAUCUUACGCAAUGGGGGAAAGCCUGACAGAGCAAAGCGGCGUGAGUGCUGAACGUCUUAUGCUGGUAAAACUAUGAAAUCCGGGAAGAACAAAUGUGUAAGUACCUAUGAAGGUAUUGACGGUACCUAAUGAGAAAGCCACGGCUAACUCCGUG
rnacentral:rRNA from 1 species